GCGGGUAUGAUGUAAUGGUAGCUUAUCAGCUUCCCAAGCUGAACGCGCGGGUUCGAUUCCCGCUACCCGCUCCA
rnacentral:tRNA from 1 species